rnacentral:rRNA from 1 species
AAUAUUGGACAAUGGGCGCAAGCCUGAUCCAGCCAUACCGCGUGGGUGAAGAAGGCCUUCGGUUUGUAAAGCCCUUUUGUUGGGAAAGAAAUCCAGCUGGCUACUACGCGGUUGGGAUGACGGUACCCAAAGAAUAAGCACCGGCUACCUUCGUGACAGCAGCCGCGGUAAUACGAAGGGUGCAAACGUUACUCGGAAUUAAUGGGCGUAAAGCGUGCGUAGGUGGUUAUUUAAGUCCGUUGUGAAAGCCCUGGGCUCAACCUGGGAACUGCAGUGGAUACUGGAUGACUAGAAUGUGGUAGAGGGUAGCGGAAUUCCUGGUGUAGCAGUGAAAUGCGUAGAGAUCAGGAGGAACAUCCAUGGCGAAGGCAGCUACCUGGACCAACAUUGACACUGAGGCACGAAAGCGUGGGGAGCAAACA